AAACAAUAAAUAUUUACAAAUUACAAUUUCAAAGCAUUUUUGCUCCAAAAAAGAAUUACUCCAAUUAAUCCUCUAAAUCCAGAUCUCCAUUUUAAGCCAUCAACAAUUCAGAACUUUCUUUUAGCCCCAAAUUCUUAUUAUCAGUCAAAUCCACAUAUACUUUCUUCACUGGAUAAUCAUAAUCAUCAUUUCUUGAUAAUUGACCUAUUGAAGCUAAAGCUAACAACUCAGAUUCAUCAAGCCCUUUUGCUGGACCAAGACUACACCUUUCAGUCCCAUACCUUCCUAAUGCAUCUUUGAAUUUUUUAAUAGUUGCAUUAGUACAGCUAAAGCUACAGAGUUU
rnacentral:misc_RNA from 1 species